AAUGGCUCUCUUCUCUCUCUCUCUCUCUCUCUAUAGAUAAAAGAUAUACAGAUGCCUCUCUCCGUAUAUCGAAUUGAUCGUUUACCCGUAAUCGGCCUCUGCAAGGUUUUCAGAUGCUGGUAUAAUUAAAUGGAGGAUAUGUCCUGGGAGAUGUAGUAGGAUACAUAUAACUAAUAGCUGUGGUCUAAGGCUUUGUUGAGUUGAGUUUUUGAGGUAUGGGGACUCUGAUGGUGUAUCAUUCUUGUUAACAUCUCUUGUAAUUGUACUGAACGUUAGUUAAUAUGGAGGCUUUGGAAUGAGGGCAUAAUUUCUUUACAUCUGUGGGGCCCUUUAGGUAAUUUGAACAACUGACGAACAGAUUUGAGUUUGAAGUUCGGUGUGCUCAUCAAGUUUCAUUAUAGUCAUCUGCUCCGGUUGCGGUGUCUUAUAUGUUGGCGUUUAUAUUGGGAGAGCAAACUUUAGGGUACGUUGUUAAUAAAGCUGCAGAAUUAUUUUAGGACGUUGUUCUGUGGAAUUUAAUUUUUUCAGAGGACUCAAUUUUGUUGUAAAAACAUUGCAGUUUUAUAUUAGGAUUGUGUGAAGCCUUAGAAUCUUGGGAUUCUUUAUUAUUGGUGUUAAAUAUGUGGCAUACCGAGUAUAGUUGGUAUUUAGCGGCAUCUUUGAUAAGAAAUGACACAAUUUAUAUCUUAUUUUAGUUUCUAAUACACUUGGGAGAUUCCAUGGCUUCCAAAACUUGUGCUCUUUGUUCUCCAUCUUGGAAGUUUGAUUACUUUUGCUUUAAUGAGUGGGGGAACUAAUGUGGGGCUCACUUAUAAAUUAACUGAUUCAGUGUUAUUGUGCUGCAAAGAGUUCACUACAGGAUAGUUCUCGGUGAUUAGCCCAUGGGUGGUUAUUUACUGUUGGAGAUCAUUAUCUAGUGAAGCUGGAGUUUUAAGGUGAUAUUAUGACAUGAAAAUCCUAUUUAUACUAUAGUCAGAUUUGCGGUUGACCCAAUUACAUGCUCCAGGUUGGGAAUCUUUACUGCAGCAUGAGCUUGUGUAAAAGAACUUGGUCUUUCUGAUGAUUGGCAAGGGUUAUGUAGUUCAAAUUGACAAAGUGCUAGGUGAUGACUCAUUGCAUUCAGUCUAUUGAUGAUUUGAUGUAGCAAUGCUUGAAAGCUUUUGAUUAGUGUUAUCAGAAAACGCUAAUACUUAGUGAAUUACGUUUUGAAACA